ACUGCCUCCUUGGAAGUAUUGGGAGUGAGUUCUGCCCUUUGGAAUGGGGUCUGUCAGCAGAAGGAGCAGCAACUGCACCUGGAGAUUGCUUCCUUUAGAGCGUGGGGUGAACCCUUGAAACUGGGACUGUGACCUUUCCUGUUUUUGGGGCAUCCUGACCACAUUGAAGUGCUGGCAGAUGUAAGGGCAGCAUUGAUCUCUGGAGACUGUCUCCUGUGGAGCAGGGGGACUUCACCUGACUGCCUUGACUUCUCAAAUACCACUGCGAGUGGCUCGGUGACUGCAGCGGUGAAUUCCCUCAGGGCUCUGGGACUCGUCUCAUCAGGACCCAAAGACUCCUGGAUGUCAGGUUCUCAGGUGGCUGCGGAGUUGCAGCGCUCCCGAGUGCCGUAACGACUGCAUGGAGAUGCGUGGCUCUUCAUGGGAACAGCAAGGAACCGGAAUCUGCAUUUCCUGGAAUGCCCCAGAGCCUCGCUUUGCUGGCUGGUAAUUGUCUGCCCAGCAGGUGGCAGCAGAGCUGCGUUGCUCCUGAGCACUUUAAGGACAGCACGGAGAUGCGCGGCUCUUCAUGGCAGCAGCAGAAACUGGAAUCUGCAUUUCCUGGAAUGCCCCGGAACCUCGCUUUGCUGGCCGGUAAUUGUCUGCCCAGCAGGUGAAGAUGCCUUCGAUGCUUCCAGUUGAUGGCUUCCCCCCUGCGAUGCCAUCGUCUUUCCAGUCCUCCCGCACUCACCGCCUGCUCGGUUCAGUCCAGCCGUUACCUGAAUCCCUGCUCCGUUCCCUUUCCUGAGUGCUGUAAGGACAGCAUGGAGAUGUGCGGCUCUUGAUGACAGCAGCAGGAACCGGAAUCUGCAUUUCCUGGAACGCCCCGGAACCCCACUUUGCUGCCUGGUAAUUGUCUGCCCAGCAGGUGAAGAUGCCUUCGAUGCUUCCAGUCGAUGACUUCCCCCCUGCGAUGCCAUUGGCUUUCCUGGCCUCCCACAGUCACCGCCAGCUCAGUUCAGUUGAGCUGUUACCCGAAUCCCCACUCCGUUCCCUUUCCAUGAUUUCCAUGAUCUUCCUGUCACUCUGUCACAAGCCCCCACCAAGAUCAUCGCAGGCAACGUGUGGGAUGCGGCACUCGGUCUCAUUACAGUUCAUCCCAUCAGCUUCAGCCCAGCGAUCCAACCCACCCGCACCCUUCCUGAGGGCCCUUCUGCUCCCAGGCCAAUCAACGCUUCCUUCUGAUGCCAUCUGCAUUCCUUCCUGGCCACUUUCAGACUCGUGCCCCUUUGUGGCCAUUUUGAGAGUUGCGCUGAUUUCAGCGUCUGCAUUCAAUUGACUUCAACCAAAUUGGCUUUAGCUUUACAUUCAAUUAAUGUAAACCAAAUUGGCUUUAGUUUUACAUCCAAUUAAUGUAAACCAAAUUGGCUUUAGCUUUACAUGCAAUUAAAUGUAAACCAAAUUGGCUUUAAGUUUGCCUUGCUUACGGGGUUGGGUUAGCUUUGCUUUGUUUGUUCUAGCGCAGGGCUAACCCAACCCCGUAACCAAGGGCCGGCGGAGGCGAUUUUGUUCCUUCCCGGCCAGUCUGAGACUUGCGCCCCCUUGUGGCCAUUUGAUGAUCUGUGCUGAUUUCAGUGUCUGCAUUCAAUUAAUCUCAACCAAAUUGGCUUUAGCCUUGCAGUCAUUUUGCAUCAACCAAAUUGGCUUUGGUUUUGCAUUCAACUUAUUUCAACCAAAUUGGCUUUAGUUUUACAUUCACUUGACUUCAAUCAAAUUGGCUUUAGCUUUACACUCAAUUAUUGUAAACCAAAUUGGCUUUAGUUUUACAUCCAAAUUAUGUAAACCAAAUUGGCUUUAAGUUUGCCUUGCUUACGGGGUUGGGUUAGCUUUGCUUUGUUUGUUCUAGCGCAGGGCUAACCCAACCCCGUAACCAAGGGCCGGUGGAGGCGAUUUUGUUCCUCCCGGCCAGUCUGAGACUCGUGCCCCCUUGUGGCCAUUUGAAGAGUUGCGCUGAUUUCGGCAUCUGCAUUCAAUUAAUCUCAACCAACUUGGCUUUAGCCUUGCAGUCAUUUUGCAUCAACCAAAUUGGCUUUAGUUUUACAUUCACUUGACUUCAAUCAAAUUGGCUUUAGCUUUACACUCAAUUAUUGUAAGCCAAGUUGACUUAGUUUUACAUCUAAUUAAAUGUAAACCAAAUUGGCUUUAGUUUUACAUCCAAUUAAUGUAAACCAAAUUGGCUUUAGCAUUGCCUUGCUUACGGGGUUGGGUUAGCUUUGCUUUGUUUGUUCUAGCGCAGGGCUAACCCAACCCCGUAACCAAGGGCCGGUGGAGGCGAUUUUGUUCCUUCCCGGCCAGUCUGAGACUUGUGCCCCCUUGUGGCCAUUUGAUGAUCUGUGCUGAUUUCAGCGUCUGCAUUCAAUUAAUCUCAAUCAAAUUGGCUUUGGCUUUGCAUUCAACUUAUUUCAACCAAAUUGGCUUUAGUUUUACAUUCAAUUGACUUCAAUCAAAUUGGCUUUAGUUUUACAUCCAAUUAAUGUAAACCAAAUUGGC